rnacentral:lncRNA from 1 species
CUUUUUCAGAUUUUCUAAAAAAACUGAAGGAGCCUCAAUUUUUUCUCAACACCCUCCCCUACAUUCGGCCUAGGCCUUCUCUAAGCCACCGUCGCGCCGCCGCCGCCGUGGCCAACGGCCGACGGCGAAAAAAAUGGGUUUUUUAACCUUCCCUUCGCAGCGUGCUAGAAGGUUGGCCUCUAUCAACCCGCAGGACCGAAAAAGGUCUUUAGUCCCCAACUUUCGGCUCCGACGACGGCGAAGAGAGCACCGACGCCGGGCUUGCAAGGCGACGAGGUACGCUUCUUCUCCCCUCUCUUUUUAUUUCAAUAUUUAGUAUAAAAAACGAAAAUAAAAGAAAUAAAAAUAAAAUAAGUACAAGAACCGAAAAAAGGUUUUUCCUUUUGAAAUUUUCUCUGUUUUUCUUGUUUUUUAUUUAGAUCUUCGUAAAAAAGAAGAAGCUUACAAGGAAGAGAUUUUCGGCUUUUAUAGCCGAUCUACACAACUUUUAAUUUCUAUUUCUUUGUCUUUUUGCUAUUUGUUUCUUCUGUUGUUGCGUGCCUUUUGCAUUCAAUUUUUGCAGGUGUCAGAGCAUGCGGAGGAAAGGCGGCUAGGAGCGGCGGUAGCCAGGCAUGGCAGAGGAGGCGAAACGGCGUUGGGGCUGGAGCCUGGGCAUGCGGCGCAUGGAGGCUUGGGGGCUAGGGUUUGGUACUGCUGAAUGGGGUUAAUUUUUGGGCUAGGGUUUCUUAAUUUGGGCCUGUUGGGUAUUUUGGGCCACUGUUUAUUUUGGACUGUAUGUUUUUUUUGCUGGUAUUGGGCUUUAGUGUUUUGGGCCCCGGGCAAAAUGGCUCUUACA